GGGGAAUCUUGCACAAUGGGGGCAACCCUGAUGCAGCGACGCCGCGUGAGCGAUGAAGCCCUUCGGGGCGUAAAGCUCUUUCGACCGGAACGAUAAUGACGGUACCGGGAGAAGAAGCUGCGGCUAACUACGUGCCAGCAGCCGCGGUAAUACGUAGGCAGCAAGCGUUGUUCGGAGUUACUGGGCGUAAAGAGUGCGUAGGCGGUUUUCUAAGUUCGGUGUGAAAUCUCCCGGCUUAACUGGGAGGGUGCGCCGAAGACUGGGAAGCUGGAGUGUGGGAAAGGCAGGCGGAAUUCCUGGUGUAGCGGUAAAAUGCGUAGAUAUCAGGAGGAACACCGGCGGUGUAGACGGCUUGCUAGACCAUAACUGACGCUGAGGCACGAAAGCGUGGGUAGCAAACA
rnacentral:rRNA from 1 species